AUGGGCAUGUCCAGAUGGGUGAAGAAAAACCCAUGUGGUCAUGAUUGCUCUAGUAUAAGAAGGAAAAAGAAGGCGAAGAAUGGAACCAAGCAUUGGGUAUGUGAUAAGGUGAAAGAUUGGCUGAUUGAAGAUGCAACUCUCGGGGCGAAGGCAUUGCAGAAGAAGAUUAAAGAACACCACAAGGUUGACCUCCACUACAAGAGAAUAUAUAUGGGUAAGAAGCUAGCUCUGAAAGAAUUGUAUGGUGAUUGGGAUAGCAGCUUUGACAAUUGUAUAGGUUUAAAGCACAAGUUGAAACCACUUGCCCUGGUAGCAUACUUCAGAUUGAUCAUUAGACUAUAA
rnacentral:rRNA from 1 species